AUUGAACGCUGGCGGCAGGCCUAACACAUGCAAGUCGAACGGUAACAGGAAGCAGCUUGCUGCUUCGCUGACGAGUGGCGGACGGGUGAGUAAUGUCUGGGAAGCUGCCUGAUGGAGGGGGAUAACUACUGGAAACGGUAGCUAAUACCGCAUAAUGUCGCAAGACCAAAGAGGGGGACCUUCGGGCCUCUUGCCAUCGGAUGUGCCCAGAUGGGAUUAGCUUGUUGGUGGGGUAACGGCUCACCAAGGCGACGAUCCCUAGCUGGUCUGAGAGGAUGACCAGCCACACUGGGACUGAGACACGGUCCAGACUCCUACGGGAGGCAGCAGUGGGGAAUAUUGCACAAUGGGCGCAAGCCUGAUGCAGCCAUGCCGCGUGUAUGAAUAAGGCCUUCGGGUUGUAAAGUACUUUCAGCGGGGAGGAAGGGAGUAAAGUUAAUACCUUUGCUCAUUGACGUUACCCGCAGAAGAAGCACCGGCUAACUCCGUG
rnacentral:rRNA from 1 species